GCGGGAGUGGCGCAAAGGUAGCGCAACGGCCUUCCAAGCCGUGUGUUGCGGGUUCGAGUCCCGUCUCCCGCU
rnacentral:tRNA from 2 species